rnacentral:lncRNA from 1 species
AAACAUGAGGAAAGAUAAUAGUCCAGCAAUGCGCUCAUAAUAAUUCCCACAUACCUGCUUCCCAAAGUUGAUUCAGAUGCUACUUUGUUUUAAAAGCUAUCCUAUGUACCAGCAAUUUUCAAUAGUGAUCCUAGGCAGUUACUUAGGUUGAUUAUAGCAAUUUUGCUACAUCAUGAUAUAGCAAAUUGCUAUAUUUUUGCUAUAUCAUGCUAUAUUAUGAUUGCGGUCUUUUUAUUUUCCAAAUCUUUAAUUCAUUUUAAAAGAAAGGUUUGUUCCAGGAUGGCAAAUACAGUGGUUGAAGCUGGGGGCAUGAUGAUAAAAGAACUCUAGAACUUCAGGAUUCUCCAUUGUUCUGGCAUUGCUGCCCACCAGCAGAGGAUCAGGCUGACAUCUUCAGGAGGCAUAUGGAGGUAAUGGUUAACUUUGCUACAGUGAAGACCAAGGUAAAUUGGGUGCACUGAAGAGAAAAACCUGACCACUUCUGCAGCUGUGCAUCUGGAGUCUGAAGAAUUCCAAAUGUGCUACCAUCCAUGUAGUUUUACUUGAAAAACCCCCUUGGAAAUUAACAAUAAGGCACUGACUGGAGCUGAAUUUGCAAAUGUUUUAGGAAGAAACUUUAUCUCAGACUACCCUUGAUGUAUCAAAAUAUUUAAAGCAAUUGGCAAAGGCAGUGAGCAAUUCACUCUCAGGCACAUGAAUAUCACCGGGAGAGGGCUGAAUGUUCAGACCAUAUGAUGUCCUGAAAAUUCUUCCACAAUAUUUAACCAACACUUUCCAGAAAAACUUCAUUUAUCUCCAUGUACCAAUAUUUUGGGGUCCAGCCCAAUUCCUGUCCCUUCAGUGAAGCCUUAUUUAAUUUUACCAAUAAAUAAUAGCUCUCUUUUUUGAA